rnacentral:rRNA from 1 species
GUCUAUGGCCCUGCCACCCUAAAUAUGCCGGAUCUCGUCUGAUCUCAGAAGCUAAGCAGGGUCGGGCCUAGUUAGUACUUGGAUGGGAGACCGCCUAGGAAGACCAGGUGCUGUAGGCG